rnacentral:rRNA from 1 species
AUUGAACGCUGGCGGCAGGCUUAACACAUGCAAGUCGAGCGGGGUGAUGGUGCUUGCACUAUCACUUAGCGGCGGACGGGUGAGUAAUGCUUAGGAAUCUGCCUAUUAGUGGGGGACAACAUCUCGAAAGGGAUGCUAAUACCGCAUACGUCCUACGGGAGAAAGCAGGGGAUCUUUAUGACCUUGCGCUAAUAGAUGAGCCUAAGUCGGAUUAGCUAGUUGGUGGGGUAAAGGCCUACCAAGGCGACGAUCUGUAGCGGGUCUGAGAGGAUGAUCCGCCACACUGGGACUGAGACACGGCCCAGACUCCUACGGGAGGCAGCAGUGGGGAAUAUUGGACAAUGGGGGGAACCCUGAUCCAGCCAUGCCGCGUGUGUGAAGAAGGCCUUAUGGUUGUAAAGCACUUUAAGCGAGGAGGAGGCUACUUUAGUUAAUACCCGGAGAUAGUGGACGUUACUCGCAGAAUAAGCACCGGCUAACUCUGUGCCAGCAGCCGCAGUAA